ACUGCAGACACGGAGGGGCAGGGGCUGAGCUGCAGGAACAGAGCCCCGAACCCCUGCGGGUCACCCCCAGGUUCAGCUGCUGUAAGCCUCUAGUCAACACGCACGUGGGAAGCUGAAUCAUCAUGGACAACCUCACACCCAGACCUCAGGCCUAAUACCUUAAGCGCAAUCCAGUUCCUCGAGGCAGCGGGCAAGGCGCACAUGACCCCGGGAGUGUGCCACGGACAGGGGCAGCCGGCCCAGGGAGUCGGGAAUGCUCAGCGCCUGCCGGUUCCAGCGGAAGAGGAGCACUGCGGCUUCCAGGUGGCCCAGGGCACAGGCCCACAUCUGCAAGAGGGUGGGGGGCAGGAGGUGAGGCCUGGGGCCUCCCUGGCUGGGUCUCCCCUGCGAGAACCAUCCCCAGGCAGCGGCCCGUAUGCGCUCACCAGCGGGGUGCAGGAGAAGUGGUCCACAUUGAGCGGGUCAGCCUCUUGCUCCAAGUCCAAACUCCCUGUCCCCACGCUCCUGGAAGAUUUGGGACAGGGACACCGGAGCCUGGUCAGGGUAAGGGCAGGUGCUGUGGGAGCAUACUGUCCAGAAGCACCAAGAUGGGCGGGGGGUGCUUGCAGACACACAGGGCAGGAGGAGCCCCAACACUCAGCGUCCCAAGUCAUGGGGGGCGGGCGCAGUGUUGAAAUUCCUGGAGUGCGAGCCCUCUCCCGGCCCUUCUAACCACAGUGACCGCAGCUCCCUCCUGGCGGGGCUCCAGGUGGUCUGGGCCCUCCCUAGUCCCCUCCCUGGGGCCCUGCUCACCGCCACUGGCUCAGUGUCUCGAUGAGGCGUGCGUAGCCCUGGGCAGCGGCCAGGUGUAGGAGGCUCAUGCCUCGGAAGGGGUUCCCGUGGGCCAGGCGCUCAGGGCCCCUCUGGGUGGACCGUGGGAUCAUGCUCUCUACCAGGACAACCACCCGAGCCUCAAAGCCAGGCCCCUGGCCUUCAUCCUGUGGAGAAUACCCCUUUAGGCAGGGACCUGAGCAUCCGGCCCCUGGCUCCGCAUGGCCUCGGCCGCCCCCACCUGUCCUCUCCCCUGCCACCCAGGCCUCCCCCUCUGGCUCCUGACGUCCCCCACGUCAUGGCUUGCUUCCUCCAGCAGCUGUGGCAGCCGGACCUCACACGGCUUUGCCUGCGUGUGCCCUUCAUGCCGGCUGCGGUCAGUGCCAUGCCCACAGACGGCCCAGCCACAUCCUCAGAGACCCGGGCCCACAGGCUCCCUGUCCCCUCCCCCACCCGCUUCGGAUCAGGAAUAGUCUGUCAUCUGCGGCCUGUCAUGCCAACAGGACGCCCAGAAUAGCUGCUCCUGCCACGGGGUAACGUCAGGGAGGAGGAGGCUGGGGGCAGGAGGGACAAGCAAGUCCCACAGCAGAGCCAUUUGCUCCAGUGGGACCCUCCUCGGCUUCCUGCCCAGACCUCCCUCCCUGCGGAGGUACCUGGAUCGGAGGCACGUCAGGACCGCGGCAGGGAGCCUGCCCAGCUGCUGCCAUGUCCGCCAUCCGCUUCUCCAUCUGCUCCAGCCGCUCCAGAAUGGACAUUCGGAACUGGUUGUCUGAGGGAAAGAGGUACGGGAGGCUGAGAGGCGGGUGGGCGCGGGGGACGCCCAUGCCACCAUGGCUAGACCCGGGAGGUGAAGACGAGGCACCAGGGUCUUUCUUCACCAGAACAACAGCCCCUGGGCCCCUUGCCCUGUGUACAGCCCAGCCAGGAUGCAGGCCUAAAACAAGGACCUUUAGUGCUACCCGCCAACUGGGAACCAGAAUCUGGAACCAAAACCCCGUUCUUCAAGACACAGACGGGGCAGGAGUCCCAGCGUGCAACCCCGAGCUGCCCCAGGUCACUCACGCGUGCACACGCUCACACGCACACACACCCAGCCCUUCAGGUGAGCCCUCCAUCAGCUCUCCCUGCCCCAGAGCGAUCUCUGUCCCCCGCGCUGCACUGAAGGACUCCGGGGCCCCUCCUGUCUAUCGUCCACUGCCCAAGUGAGCUCGGGGCUUGUGAUUUAAGCACCACCCCCUCCUCCCGGCCCCCCGCAGCUGUCCACAGAGAGCAUGGUGGGGCUUGGAAGUGACAAAGAUGGAUCGCCGUGUCCAUUCCUCCUCUUUCUCCCCCACCCGGGGCACAAGAAUGCACACACGCACGCACGCACACCCCAAGCCAUAUCUGUUCCCUCCUGAGAUCAUGUGAGGACAAGGAGGGGAGGCGGGAGGGGAUCAGAGCCACAGGAAAACAGGCACCCAACAGGGUGGAGGUUGGAGAUGUCCUCCUUCUCAGGAAAGGGCUCAGGCCUGGAGCUGAUGGCGUGGAGGAGGGUGGAUGGUGAGGUAAAGGGCAGAAGGGACAGGAGAGGAGGAAGAUGUGGCAAACGAGCACCAGGAAGGAGGGGGGCAGGUGAGGGCGUGGGGCACAGGGAAGCGUGGGGAGGGAGGAGACCCCCCAGGGGGAGACAGGGUGGUGGGGCAGGGCUUUAGCAGGGGCCCCCCAAGGCUGAGACAGCAGGGGGCAAGGGCCCCUGAGGCAAAGCAGUCCUGUGACAGAGGGGGGGCGGCAGGCGAGUGUGGCAGGGGUGGCAGCGCAACUGAGAGAAACCCAGAGAAGGGGGACCCCCGGCUGGACACGGGGGCCACAGGGACACCGCACUGAGAGCCACGGGAGGGAGAACCAGGGCAGGAACACGCGGGUCUCUGUGUAAGUACGUGUGUGCACACGUGUGUGUUUCUACAGGAAAGCGUGUUAGAGCGUAUUAAAGGUGAACAUCGCAGGGCA